rnacentral:rRNA from 1 species
CGAUUCAAAUGAAGUUUUCGGAUGGAUUUUGAAUUGACUUAGCGGCGGACGGGUGAGUAACGCGUGGGUAACCUGCCUCAUACAGGGGGAUAACAGUUGGAAACGGCUGCUAAUACCGCAUAAGCACACAGUGCCACAUGGUACGGUGUGAAAAACUCCGGUGGUAUGAGAUGGACCCGCGUCUGAUUAGGUAGUUGGUGAGGUAACGGCCCACCAAGCCGACGAUCAGUAGCCGACCUGAGAGGGUGACCGGCCACAUUGGGACUGAGACACGGCCCAAACUCCUACGGGAGGCAGCAGUGGGGAAUAUUGGACAAUGGGGGAAACCCUGAUCCAGCGACGCCGCGUGAGUGAAGAAGUAUUUCGGUAUGUAAAGCUCUAUCAGCAGGGAAGAAAAUGACGGUACCUGACUAAGAAGCCCCGGCUAACUACGUGCCAGCAGCCGCGGUAAUACGUAGGGGGCAAGCGUUAUCCGGAUUUACUGGGUGUAAAGGGAGCGUAGACGGCACUGCAAGUCUGGAGUGAAAGCCCGGGGCUCAACCCCGGGACUGCUUUGGAAACUGUGGUGCUAGAGUGCAGGAGAGGUAAGUGGAAUUCCUAGUGUAGCGGUGAAAUGCGUAGAUAUUAGGAGGAACACCAGUGGCGAAGGCGGCUUACUGGACUGUAACUGACGUUGAGGCUCGAAAGCGUGGGGAGCAAACAGGAUUAGAUACCCUGGUAGUCCACGCCGUAACGAUGAAUACUAGGUGUUGGGGAGCAAAGCUCUUCGGUGCCGCCGCUAACGCA